rnacentral:rRNA from 1 species
UACGGGGGGAGCAAGCGUUGUUCGGAUUUACUGGGCGUAAAGGGCGCGUAGGCGGCCACCGCAAGUCAGUUGUGAAAUCUCUGGGCUUAACCCAGAACGGUCAGCUGAUACUGCGGGGCUAGAGUGCAGAAGGGGCAACUGGAAUUCUCGGUGUAGCGGUGAAAUGCGUAGAGAUCGGGAGGAACAUCAGUGGCGAAGGCGGCCAUCUGGGACAACACUGACGCUGAAGCACGAAAGCGUGGGGAGCAAACAGG